CAGCAGUAGCCGCGGGAAAACGUAGGGGGCGAGCGUUGUCCGAAGUUACUGGGCGUAAAGAGCGCGUAGGCUGGUCUUUAAGUGAGUGGUGAAAGGUUCGGGCUCAACCCGGACACUGCCUUUCAUACUGGGGACCUUGAGUGUGGGAGAGGCGAGUGGAAUGGUCGGUGUAGCGGUGAAAUGCGUAGAUAUCGAUCGGAACACCCAUGGCGAAGGCAGCUCGCUGGCCUAACACUGACGCUGAGGCGCGAAAGCGUGGGGAGCGAACAGGAUUAGAGACCCGCGUAGUCCCUGUCUCUUAUAA
rnacentral:rRNA from 1 species